ensembl:miRNA
CCUUGGCCACCACACCCACCCCUUGUGAAUGUCAGGCAAUGGGUGAUGGGUGUGGUGUCCACA